UUUUGCCUCCAACUUGAAAACACAUCCACAGUUCAUCAAGUCUGCCGCCUCCACUGCUGUCUCCCUGAAUUUCAUCUCUCGGCAGAACUUUUAGAGUAACCCCCGAACCACUCUCCCUAUGUCCAUGGUUUCCCCAUGGUGUCUAUAUUCCACUCUAAAUUCAGAACCAUCUUUUUUUCUUUUUACCACCACACCUGCAGCAUAUGAAAGUUCCCAGGCUAGGGGUUGAAUCAGAGCUGCAGCUGAGGCCUACACCACAGCCACAGCAAUGUGGGAUCCAAGCCGCAUCCGUGACCUACACUGCAACUUGCAGCAAUGCUGGAUCCUUAACCCACUGAAUGAGACCAGGGAUUGAACUCACAUCCUCAUGCACACAAUGUUGGGUUCUUAAUCUGCUGAGCCACAACAGGAACCCCAAAACCAUUUUUAAAUAACCAAGUUAUAGUACACAUGUUAUUCUACUACUCAAAAUCAUCUCAUUUCCUUUCUCUUGAAAAGUUAAAUUCAAAUUCUUUGCAUUAUCCUUUAAGGAUCUCAGUGAACAUGGUUUCAUGCUUCCUCUUUGAAUUCAUCUACUACAUUGUCCCCUUUUGUUCAUUCUGUUCCAACCACACUGACCUCCCUUUAUCUUAAAAAAAGAAAAGGCAAGCAUAAACCUGUCUCGAAGCCUUUGAAUUUGUUCUGCUCUCUACACAGAAAAUUCUUAGCCCAGGUGGCCACAUGGCUCACGUCCUUACUCUCUGCUCAAAUGUCACCUGAGCAGAGACGUUUCCCUUGACCACCCAUAUGAAAUAGCACCAUCCCACCCACACUGUGCAUUCUCCAUUCCCUUCCACCUGUGCUAUUCUUCUUCCUAUCCUUCACCACUAUCUGACAUGUUACAUCCUUUUUUGCUUGUUUGUCUCCUCCGGCUGGAAUGCAAGUUCCUACGGAGGAGGGCCAUGGCUAGUUUUGUUCACCAUGGAAUCCCCAGCACGUAGGAUACUGUAUGACACAGAGCAGGCACUCAAUAUUUAUCCAUUGUUGAAAAUGAGUCAAUUGGUUCGUAGUAAAUUUGGAUUCAAUUUUGGAUUAGAAAUUCAGCUUAGACCCCAGCACAAAAGGAAUUCUUUAUUCCUCUCACUCUGAAAGUGUUAGCCCCCAGGAGCAGGAUGGAGAACCAUGGCUGUUUACCUAUUUCAUGUCAACAAGAUUAGGUUACAGAAUAGACAAGAUCUUGAAUUAAAGAAAGGCAGGUCCCAACAGGACUCUCCAUUGGGUCCAGCCACCCGAUGGGCAUGUGAGUCAUUCCUCACCAAGCAAGGAGGAGUAAAACUGGGCGUGGGAAACACCCACGUUAUCUUCCUAAUAUAGUCUGGAGGGCCAAGCCCCUUUUUAUGAGCUCAGAAAUACUGGGUAAGGGAUAGAACACUUCCUACCAUAAGCAAGAGAAUGGUUAUGACUGUAACAAUAGAGAAAAUAGUGAUGGGCCUCUUCCCAUCUCCAGUUCCCUCCUAAGUCUAUCGGAAACAAAUGGCAUUACAGGAAUUUCUUUUCUUCUCCACCACCGUGGUUUCCAUCAUUUGUGCUCUAAGUCCAGGACAUCUGCCCCCCUACCCACAGAUAUGCACACAGAGAGAACUGUGCGUUGUAUUGAAGGAGAUGAUGGUCCUUUCUAAGGAUAUGGCUAUGUGUUAGGUAGGACAGUAAUGGUCAGAAUUUACGGUAACCAUACACUUGAGAACCUUCUAGAACCAAGCCUGAUAAGCCUUAUAACUUACUAACUGUAUAAACUUACACAAGUCAGUUAACCUCUGUGAUUCAGUGCCUUAUCUGUAAAACAUAAAUAAUAAUACUUCCUUCAUCAAGUUGUUCUGAGAAAUAAAUUUGUAUAUAUAUGAAUAUAUAUACAUAUGAUAUAUGUCAUACCAUAUAUAUAUAUUCUAAAUUUUAUGUUGCAAUUAUUCAAUUUAUAGUUUUCUAUAAUCAACAUUAAAAUUAUGUUUUAUGAGAUUCUGAAAAAUGUAAUAUAGUAUUUCCUCAGUACAAAUAAUGGAAGAGUUUUCCUUGAAGCAAUGAUAAAUAGAAAUUUUAUGUUGCAAUUAUUAAUACAGGAGCUCUGGUGUAACCAAUGGAUAGUGGCAGUGUUCUUAUAUUUAUAUUCCGCUUUAACAAAUAAAAUGUAUUUAAGGUAUUUAAUUCUUUACUGGGUGUUCAGUGGUGAAAGAAUGAGACUGAUGCUGUAACACAAGGUUUCAUUAAAGAUUUACCUGAUACCGUCUUUUAUUAUUAUUAUUAUUUAUUAUUAUUAUUAUUUUGUCUUUUUAGGGCCAUACCCACAGCAUACGGAGGUUCCCAGGCAGGGGUCUAAUCGGAGCUGUUGCUGCCAGCCUACACCAGAGCCACAGCAACGCCAGAACCGAGCCAUAUCUGCAACCUACACCACAGCUCAUGGCAACACCAGAUCCUUAACCCACUGAGCGAGGCCAGGGAUCAAACCUGCAACCUCAUGGUUCCUAGUCGGAUUCGUUUCCACUGCACCACGAGGGGAACUCGACACUGUCUUUUAAUGAAGACAUUAGGUAAGGACAUUUGUGAAGGAGGAGAUAGGACAGUAGGUGGAAAUCAGAUGCGUAAGUUCCCCCAGAAACUGAGCUAUUUAGCAAAAAUGACUUUAUUUCAGCAAUUUGUGAGGGGAAAAAACAAAGAAUAAUAAGACAUUAGGUGCUAGGAUACCACUCACCAGCUCUAGAAUUCUAGUCUAAGAGCCAUUCUAUUCAGCAUUUGCUGUUAGUGAUUUGGAUAGAGACUAAGACGGCAUGCAUAUCUAAUCCCCAGUACCACAAAGAAUAGCAAGGUAAUGAACGACACUGACAGUCAAUCUGAGAAUUAAAAAGAGCAGGACAGCCUGGAAUGCUGGUCUGAAAUAAGCUAUCUGUAACAAAAUAUGAAGGCAGAAUGACAUUUAUAAAAAUGUAGAAUGAUGUAAAUAGCAAAUGAUCAUUCAGUGGUUAGUCAUUCUUCCAGGCCCUUGGUUAGGAGAUAGAGAUACAAAAAAAAAAAAAAAAAAAAAAAAAAAAAAAAAAAGAAAAAGAAAAACAUUUUAUCCCAGCUCCUCGUAAGAAUCAGUCUAAUUGAGGAA
rnacentral:lncRNA from 1 species